GACGGAGGAUGCAAGCGUUAUCCGGAAUGAUUGGGCGUAAAGCGUCCGCAGGUGGCCGUUCAAGUCUGCUGUCAAAGACCGGGGCUUAACUUCGGAAAUGCAGUGGAAACUGAACAGCUAGAGUAUGGUAGGGGCAGAGGGAAUUCCUGGUGUAGCGGUGAAAUGCGUAGAUAUCAGGAAGAACAUCGGUGGCGAAGGCGCUCUGCUGGACCAUAACUGACACUCAGGGACGAAAGCUAGGGGAGCGAAUGGG
rnacentral:rRNA from 1 species